rnacentral:autocatalytically_spliced_intron from 1 species
GUGGUACAGAAAUCACAUUGAGGCCGAUGACCCUAGGUGAGCUGGCUGCUGACAGCGAAACCGAACCGGAAAAGCAGGGCACAGGUAGAUGUGGC